rnacentral:rRNA from 1 species
GCAUAUCAAUAAGCGGAGGAAAAGAAACCAACAGGGAUUGCCCUAGUAACGGCGAGUGAAGCGGCAACAGCUCAAAUUUGAAAUCUGGCUCUUUUAGAGUCCGAGUUGUAAUUUGCAGAGGGCGCUUUGGCUUUGGCAGCGGUCCAAGUUCCUUGGAACAGGACGUCACAGAGGGUGAGAAUCCCGUACGUGGUCGCUGGCUAUUGCCGUGUAAAGCCCCUUCGACGAGUCGAGUUGUUUGGGAAUGCAGCUCUAAAUGGGAGGUACAUUUCUUCUAAAGCUAAAUAUUGGCCAGAGACCGAUAGCGCACAAGUAGAGUGAUCGAAAGAUGAAAAGCACUUUGGAAAGAGAGUCAAACAGCACGUGAAAUUGUUAAAAGGGAAGCGCUUGCAGCCAGACUUGCUUGCAGUUGCUCAUCCGGGCUUUUGCCCGGUGCACUCUUCUGUAGGCAGGCCAGCAUCAGUUUGGGCGGUAGGAUAAAGGUCUCUGUCACGUACCUCCUUUCGGGGAGGCCUUAUAGGGGAGACGACAUACUACCAGCCUGGACUGAGGUCCGCGCAUCUGCUAGGAUGCUGGCGUAAUGGCUGUAAGCGGCCCGUCUUGAAACACGGACCAAGGAGUCUAACAUCUAUGCGAGUGUUUGGGUGUCAAGCCCGAGCGCGUAAUGAAAGUGAACGGAGGUGGGAACCCGCAAGGGUGCACCAUCGACCGAUCCUGAUGUCUUCGGAAGGAUUUGAGUAAGAGCAUGGCUGUUGGGACCCGAAAGAUGGUGAACUAUGCUUGAAUAGGGUGAAGCCAGAGGAAACUCUGGUGGAGGCUCGCAGCGGUUCUGACGUGCAAAUCGAUCGUCAAAUUUGGGCAUAGGGGCGAAAGACUAAUC